UUUGAGAUGGAGUCUCGCUCUGUCGCCCAGGCUGGAGUGCAGUGGCGCCAUCUCAGCUCACUGAAACCUCCGCCUCUCAGGUUCAAGCGAUUCUCCUAUCUCAGCCUCCCAAAGUGCUGGGAUUACAGGCAUAAGCCACCACGCCCAGCCCAGAUUUGCAAAGAUUUUAAAGUCGGCAAUAAAAUAAUGUGUAGUGAUGGCUCUUGUGCCACCAAUGUGUUUCUGGUUGGAUCAGAACAUGCCUGCUUUAACAGGAGGAUCUAAUGAGUGCCUCUUCUCUCCUUGCAGGUGGUGAAGGUGGGUCUGGUUGAAGACUCUCCCUCCACAGCAGGCGAUGGGGACGAUUCUCCUGUGGUCAGCCUUACUGUGCCCUCCACAUCACCACCCUCCAGCUCGGGCCUGAGCCGAGACGCCACGGCCACCCCUCCCUCCUCCCCAUCUAUGAGCAGCGCCCUGGCCAUCGUGGGGAGCCCUAAUAGCCCAUAUGGGGACGUGAUUGGCCUCCAGGUGGACUACUGGCUGGGCCACCCCGGGGAGCGGAGGAGGGAAGGCGACAAGAGGGACGCCAGCUCGAAGAACACCCUCAAGA
rnacentral:lncRNA from 10 species